rnacentral:rRNA from 1 species
CCUACGGGAGGCAGCAGUGAGGAAUAUUGGUCAAUGGUCGCGAGCCUGAACCAGCCAAGUAGCGUGAAGGAUGACUGCCCUACGGGUUGUAAACUUCUUUUAUAAAGGACUAAAGUGAGGCACGUAUGCCUUUUUGUAUGUACUUUAUGAAUAAGGAUCGGCUAACUCCGUGCCAGCAGCCGCGGUAAUACGGAGGAUCCGAGCGUUAUCUGGAUUUAUUGGGUUUAAAGGGAGCGUAGAUGGGUUGUUAAGUCAGUUGUGAAAGUUUGCGGCUCAACCGUAAAAUUGCAAUUGAUACUGGCAGCCUUGAGUACAGGUGAGGUAGGCGGAAUUCGUGGUGUAGCGGUGAAAUGCUUAGAUAUCACGAAGAACUCCGAUUGCGAAGACAGCUUACUAAACUGCCACUGACAUUGAUGCGCGAAAGUGUGGGUAUCAAACAGGAUUAGAUACCCGAGUAGUC